UACGAGGGGGGCGAGCGUUGUUCGGAAUUAUUGGGCGUAAAGGGUGCGUAGUCGGUUUGGUAAGUCUGAUGUGAAAUCUAUGGGCUCAACUCAUAGUCUGCAUCGGAAACUGCCGGGCUUGAGUAUGGGAGAGGUGAGUGGAAUUCCUGGUGUAGCGGUGAAAUGCGUAGAUAUCAGGAGGAACACCUGUGGCGAAAGCGGCUCACUGGACCAUAACUGACGCUGAUGCACGAAAGCUAGGGGAGCGAACGGG
rnacentral:rRNA from 1 species